CAGGGAAUAGUUUAAUUAGAAUGUCAGCUUUGGGUGCUGGUGGUGGGGU
rnacentral:tRNA from 1 species